GUGUGCCUACGGGGGGCAGCAGUGAGGAAUAUUGGUCAAUGGGCGAGAGCCUGAACCAGCCAAGUCGCGUGAGGGAAGACGGUCCUAUGGAUUGUAAACCUCUUUUGCCGGGGAGCAAAAAGCGGUACGUGUACCGCAUCGAGAGUACCCGGAGAAAAAGCAUCGGCUAACUCCGUGCCAGCAGCCGCGGUAAUACGGAGGAUGCGAGCGUUAAUCGGAAUUACUGGGCGUAAAGGGUGCGCAGGCGGUUGAGUAAGACAGAUGUGAAAUCCCCGAGCUUAACUCGGGAAUGGCAUAUGUGACUG
rnacentral:rRNA from 1 species